CCUAAACCAGCCCCUACUCCACAAGCGGCCCCUCAGCAAACUCCCCAACCAGCUGCAGCUCGUGCACCAUCCCCAGCUUCUGGCCCAGCACAAGUGCCCUCCACACUGACACAUGCAGUGUCUGCACCCACACCGGCCCCACAGUCAGUGCCUCUCUCUGAAACCCCUUCCCCAGUCCCAGAAAACACCCCGCCGGCUUCUGUUGCUGCAACAGCAGCUCUGGACUCAAACACAGCCCCAGCCUCGGCGUCAGCUGCUACUCUAGCCUCUGACCCAGCUUCAGCUCCUGAAGCAGCCCCGGCGUCUGCCCCGUCAGACCUCCCCACCCCUGCUGCCCAGCCAGAAGAGAAGCCAAGGGAAGACCCUGAGAAUCAACCAUCUGCCACUGAACCAGUUCACUCCUUUGCUUCCAGCCUUGUUGAUGAACUGGGGCUCCUUGAAGAAGCAGCGUCAAUACUGGUGACAGGUCCAGCCUAUGAGAACCUGGUGUCAGAGAUUAUGUCUAUGGGUUAUGAGCGAGACCAGGUAGUUGCUGCACUCAGAGCCAGUUACAACAACCCAGACCGAGCAGUGGAGUAUCUACUCAUGGGUAUUCCAGCCGAGGCCAGCGAUCUGCCACCUCAGGAGCCAGUUAGACACAGUGCUCCAUCCAACCCCCCCACCUCUGCUACACAACAACCACAACAGCCCCCAGCAGUCUCAAACACAGGGCCAGUGUCUGGCAGCCAGCCUCCCCCUGCUCUAGGAGGCUCUGUGUCCACAGGGAACCCUCUGGAGUUCCUGAGGAAUCAGCCUCAGUUCCAGCAGAUGAGACAGAUCAUCCAGCAGAACCCAGCCCUCCUGCCAGCCUUGCUGCAGCAGCUGGGCAGAGACAACCCGCAGCUGCUGCAGGGGCUGGGAACCUGUAUAUUAGCUGUAUGGUGGUCUUGUGUGUGUAUUACUUGCAGCAAAUCACGCAGCACCAGGAGCGUUUUGUGCAGAUGCUGAAUGAGCCUAGAGGUGGAGACACAGGAGGGGACGGGGCUGAAGCUCAGGGGACACCACAAACCAACUACAUCCAGGUCACCCCACAGGAGAAGGAGGCCAUUGAGAGGUUAAAAGCACUGGGCUUCCCUGAAGGCUUAGUCAUCCAGGCUUACUUCGCCUGCGAGAAGAAUGAGAAUCUGGCCGCUAACUUCCUGCUACAGCAAACAUGGGACGACGAGUAACCAAACAUCACCUGACACAUUACUGUUCAACAGAGGGCCGCAGAGUGGAUGACUUCGCUACACAAGGUCCCCCUGGGAGAAACAAGGACUGGAGAGGAAGAGGACAUUUCUUUUCACACCAUGUGACUGUGGUCUGAUGAUGGUGAUGAAGAUGAAGACACGCUGUGCUGCUUACUCUACAUUUUGCUGUGGUGAUCAUCAUAGGAGCUCACACUGAGCUGUGCCUCACUGCUGCUACAUCAUUUCUGCUGCCGCUUGUGCCGGGUGUUCACACUGAGAAAAGUCAUGCCAGAAAAUAGGUCUGCAGUCUGCACCACCAACAGGUGCCCUCUGCAGUCAGCUCACAGGUGCUUGUAGAGCAUGUGGUAAAUGUAGACAGUUUAUUUACGACAGAGUGUAUCUGUAGUGAAUAUGUACAUGACAAAACACAUUUUCAACACGUGCAGUUGCACCCUCCAUGUUGGGUAUACCUGAAAAUGUGAUGCAGACUGGUGACUUCACUGUUUGAGAGCUAGCAUUGCUUUAUAUUAAAGUUCAGGUCGGAUCAAUUCAUUUCUUCUGCUUCUUUGAUCCUUGGAAAAAAUCCUAAUAACUCUGCAAGUUAAAUAAAAUUGCUGCUGUUUGAAUUGCUAAGAAGUAACUCAUGGGAAGUCAAAAUAAAACAUUUGUCUUUUUUUUUUUUUUUACCUAGACAGUCGAAAUUUUGACUUUUAUGUUAUUAUUGACUCACCAUGAGUAUUAUUUAUAUUUAUAAUUUGCCCAACUUUUUUGUGGAAAUGGGCUUCCAAAAACAGACAAGUUUGGUCAAAUCGGUCAGCUGUAAGCAGAGAUUAACUUCACAACCAGAACCGGAUUUCAUUGCAUGUUCGGGGUUCUGGAACAUGCAAUGAAAUUGUUAUUACAAU